GACGAACGCUGGCGGCGUGCCUAAUACAUGCAAGUUGAGCGCUGAAGGUUGGUACUUGUACCAACUGGAUGAGCAGCGAACGGGUGAGUAACGCGUGGGGAAUCUGCCUUUGAGCGGGGGACCACAUUUGGAAACGAAUGAUAAUACCGCAUAAAACCUUUAAACACAAGUUUUAAGUUUGAAAGAUGCAAUUGCAUCACUCAAAGAUGAUCCCGCGUUGUAUUAGCUAGUUGGUGAGGUAAAGGCUCACCAAGGCGGUGAUACAUAGCCGACCUGAGAGGGUGAUCGGCCACACUGAGACUGAGACACGGCCCAAACGCCUACAGGAGGCAGCAGUAGGGAAUCUUCGGCAAUGGACGAAAGUCUUACCGAGCAACGCCGCGGGAGUGAAGAAGGUUUUCGGAUCGUAAAACUCUGUUGGUAGAGAAGAACGUUGGUGAGAGUGGAAAGCUCAUCAAGUGACGGUAACUACCCAGAAAGGGACGGCUAACUACGUG
rnacentral:rRNA from 1 species